rnacentral:lncRNA from 1 species
GGUUGGGUGAGAACGGGACGUUUUGCAUCAUUAUCAAGAAGGGAGCAGUCGAGCGAGUAUCUCCGACACGGUAACAUCUGCAUUCUACGUCGUAAUUAUAUCAGUUCGCAAUCAUGGUUAAUCACGGUGUUGUGUUGCUGUUGGGUGUUGUAUCGUUGAUGUCGACCACGAGAGAAAAUCUUACGAAAGGAAAGAGAAAGGGCAACAGAAGUUAAUCGAGUGAGCACCUCCGACACGACAACAACUGCAUUCUUCGUCGUAUUACCAGGUCGCAAUCAUGGCUGUUGGUUGUUUCGUCGAUGGCUGGGUGGACGGCUGGUGUACCGAUGCCCCUGUGGAUACCAAACCGCAACGCCGCCGCCAAACUACACAACAACAUACGCAACGACCAGUUACUACACCGGGGUUGCGCAAUAUGGUUUACAGUUAAAUCACCAAGGAUGAAGAUUAUUACACCAAAACUUGUGCUGCUCCCCGAUUUACACUACCAAAGUGCUAGAGAACUACACCGAGGCUCCUAAGUACUACACCACCAAGGCACCUGAGACUACGCAACUACGUAUGCUGACCCAACCUACGACACCGAGGCUUCAGCUUAUUACAUACACCACCAAAGCUGUCGAAUACUACACAGGAGCGUCCAAGUACGAUAGAAAUCAGUCGAGUGAGCUUCUCCGACACCCAACACGGCAGCCCUGAAGUUUCGAAUAAACUUCGCUUCAAACAGUGGAACGACAAACAGUGAAGACGAAUACUACUGUAAUCGCGUCGAAUUGAAAAGCAAAGAUAACACAUUCGUACGUGUACACCGCGUCGUUAAACUUGACAUUGUUGGUCGGAAAGCCGAACUUGACGAUGGCCGUACCAUCACCUACGACGAGUGCGUUAUUGCCACAAGUGAUAGACGAAAAUCUUUUCCAAUCCCUGAGCGGUACCCUUAAAGAUGCCCACGAGCACGUAACGCUGUUCCGCAACAUCGAUGGCGGUAACAUAGGCCGAGUUCUCCCUUAAUAUUUGAGCCAAUGGACAACCGAGAAGGUGAAAGCGCAAGGUGUUAAUGUGUUGCCCAAAGCCUAAUGUUGAAGGUGCAAUUUUGAAAGACUACAAGGUCGCAUGGACCUUAAACGAUGGUCAAAAGAAUUCAUUUAAGCAGAUUGAAACUGACCAUUUCGUCGCUGUUAUCGGUUGGGACGCAAACACGGAUUUGGCUGUCGCUUCUGGUUUGGAAAUAUAUUCCAAUUUUGGUGGUUAUCGAGUCAAUGCUGAGCUUGAAGCCCGACCAAACGUCUGGCUGGAGAUGUUGCGUUCUUUUGUGAUAUCAAAUUGGUUCGUCGUCGUAUGGAUUAUCAUCACCAUACUGUUGUAUAAGGUCGGUUGGCUGGAGAGAACAAAACUGGCAACGAAACAUGGAUGAACAACUGCGUGCACUGUCACCAAGUGCAUUCUUCGUCGGAUUAUCAGUACGCAAUUGGGCUGGGUCGAUCACUAGUGUACUGAUGUCUCCUGGGUAUGGCGGAUACCAAAGCACCACGCCGCCGCCUUCACAAAACGCCGCCUUUACUAUACAACGACAACAUUCGCACCAACCGGUUACUACACCACCAAGGCUGCAGAGUAUUACACCGCAGCUAAUGCUGCCCCGAGCUAAAUCACCAAAGAUCCUGAGUACUACACCACCAAGUCACCGGAGUACUACACCACCAAGUCACCGGAGUACUACACCGCGGCUCCAACUUAGUACACCACCAUGGCUCCAGAGUAUUACACCACAACUUGUGCUUCCCCAAGCCACUACACCGAAGCCCCGAAGUAUUACUCUGCCCCAAGCUACACAACUACAACUGAGACGGCCAAGUAUUACGCAGUCCCGACUAACUACACAGCGGCUGCUCCUUCGUACUACGUUGAACCGGAAUACUACACCGAGGCUCCAGUUUACUACACCACAACCUACGCUACACCUAGCUACUACACCGAGACCCCUAAGUACUACACCACUAAGGCACCUGAACAUUACACCACACCCUACGAUUCUCCAACUUACUACAGGGACGCUCCUAAAUACUACAGUCGAAUUUUCAAUUAUAAUAACUAUGUUCAGAUUUGUCGGUCACAUCUUAAUAGUUACUAGUCACUGAGAAGUGUUGAUCUUUAAUGAGAAAAUAUUUUUUUUACCUGGGUAAUCAUUGUGUACGACUUGUCUUGCCACCUAAAAGCACCUAAACAUUGCGACGUUUCUGAUUUUUGUUGGAUCUUUCCUAUUUCGCAUGUGUUAUGUACGCGUCUAAGAGACUUAACAGCAUGUUGUAGAUUAUUGCUCUAGUCGCUCUGCAUUCCGGCAUGUUUUAGUGUUUGGGCGAACUCCAUUUACAGGGCAAGUUACGAAAGAAACGUAUUGUGGUGUUUACUAAAAUUUUUUGAUGUUAAUAGUUCUGUUUUUAACUGAAGUUGGCGUAACAAGAGUUGCAGAUAGUGUUUGUUUUCAUAGAAGUUUAUUUGAAGGGUUUGGAGUUGAUCAGUCACUUGCCUAUAACUUAUGUAAAACUUUAAAGUUGUAAAAAAUAAACAAGUCGUGAACUAAA